rnacentral:rRNA from 1 species
UGAAUACGAGAUGCUACGGCGUCGAAGCAGUCUAUGUCAUACUUCCAAGAAAAGCUUGCACUGUCAUAAACAAAUAAUGCCUGUACCAUAACCGACACAGGUGGGUAGGUAGAGUAUACUAAGGGGCGCGAGAUAACUCUCUCUAAGGAACUCGGCAAAAUGACUCCGUAACUUCGGGAGAAGGAGUGCCUUAUUUAUAAGGUUGCAAUAACAAGACCCAAGCAACUGUUUAUCAAAAACACAGGUCUCCGCUAAGUCGUAAGACGAUGUAUGGGGGCUGACGCCUGCCCAGUGCCAGAAGGUUAAAGAAGUUGGUUAGCAUUAGCGAAGCUGAUGACUGAAGCCCUGGUGAACGGCGGCCGUAACAAUAACGGUCCUAAGGUAGCGAAAUUCCUUGUCGGGUAAGUUCCGACCCGCACGGAAGGCGUAAUGAUUUGGGUACUGUCUCAGAGAGGGACUCGGUGAAAUAGACUUGUCUGUGAAGAUGCGGACUACCUGCACCUGGACAGAAAGACCCUAUGAAGCUUUACUGUAACCUGAAAUUGAAAUUGAACUUUAUUUGCGCAGUAUAGGUGGGAGGCUUUGAAGAUAUUCUUGCAGGAAUGUUGGAGCCAUCAGUGAGAUACCACUCUUGUAAUGUUAGAUUUCUAACUUUGUAUCACUAUCUGGUCAAAGAACAGUUUCAGGCGGGCAGUUUGACUGGGGCGGUCGCCUCCUAAACGGUAACGGAGGCGCACAAAGGUUUCCUCUGAACGGGUAGAAAUCGUAUCUAGAGUGUAAAGGCAUAAGGAAGCUUGACUGUGAGACCUACAAGUCGAGCAGGGACGAAAGUCGGUCUUAGUGAUCUGACGGUGCUGAGUGGAAAGGCCGUCACUCAACGGAUAAAAGUUACUCUAAGGAUAACAGGCUGAUCUCCCCCAAGAGUUCACAUCGACGGGGAGGUUUGGCACCUCGAUGUCGGCUCAUCGCAUCCUGGGGCGGUAGUACGUCCCAAGGGUUGGGCUGUUCGCCCAUGAAAGCGGUACGCGAGCUGGGUUCAGAACGUCGUGAGACAGUUCGGUCCAUAUCCGGUGUAGGCGUUAGAAUAUUGAGAGGAGCCUUCUCUAGUACGAGAGGACCGAGAAGGACACACCUCUGGUGUACCAGUUAUCGUGCCAACGGUAAACGCUGGGUAGCUAUGUGUGGAGCGGAUAACCGCUGAAAGCAUCUAAGUGGGAAGCCCACCUCAAGAUAAG